rnacentral:rRNA from 1 species
GUAGGUGGCAAGCGUCGUCCGGAAUUAUUGGGCGUAAAGCGCGCGCAGGUGGGUUCUUUAAGUCUGAUGUGAAAGCCCCCGGGCUCAACCGGGGAGGGUCAUUGGAAACUGGGGAACUUGAGUGCAGGAGAGGAAAGUGGAAUUCCACGUGUAGCGGUGAAAUGCGUAGAUAUGUGGAGGAACACCAGUGGCGAAGGCGACUUUCUGGCCUGUAACUGACACUGAGGCGCGAAAGCGUGGGGAGCAAACAGGAUUAGAUACCCUGGUAGUCCACGCCGUAAACGAUGAGUGCUAAGUGUUGGGGGGUUUCCGCCCCUCAGUGCUGCAGCUAACGCAUUAAGCACUCCGCCUGGGGAGUACGGUCGCAAGACUG